CGGGUGAGUAUCACGUGGGUUAUCUACCUUUUGGUGGGGGACAACACUUCGAAAGGGGUGCUAAUACCGCAUAAGUCCACUUCGGUGGGGAAAGAUGGCCUCUCCUUGGAAGCUAUCGCCAGAAGAUGAGCUCGCGGCCCAUCAGCUUGUUGGUAGGGUAAUGGCCUACCAAGGCUUCGACGGGUAGCUGGUCUGAGAGGAUGAUCAGCCACACUGGAACUGACACACGGUCCGG
rnacentral:rRNA from 1 species